rnacentral:lncRNA from 1 species
CAAUCUUCAUCAGAUCCCUUUAGGGGUGAGCUGAUGGAAGCACUUGAGCCUUUUAUGAAGGGUGCUUCUUCAUCGCCACCCAGCUCCAUACCCACUACCCCUUCUCCUCCUCCUUCAACCUCAAACCCCUUUCUUCCUUCUUUCCCUUCUACCUCUUCCUCCCCCUCCUACAACAACAGCUACCUCUCUUUCUCUCCUUCAAUCCCCACAACCACCACAAUCCAUCAGCCCGAUUUGUACCAAGAUGGUUGCUCCACCUCCUCCUCCAUGACCCUGUUUUCAGAUGGGUUCUUUGAGCAGCUGCAGCAGCAGCAACCUGGCUCAAUUGGGCUGAACCACCUAACCCCUUCUCAGAUCCACCAGAUCCAAGUCCAGAUCCAGGCUCAAAACCAGCCCAACCUGGCUUGGCAAAACUAUCAGAUUCAGCAACAACAAAUUACUCUCCCAGAAAACCACCACCAAUCUCAUACCCUCAGCUUCCUUAGCCCCAAACCCAUCCCGAUGAAGCAGGUGGGUUCUUCUGGUUCGCCGCCAAAACCCACCAAGCUU